rnacentral:rRNA from 1 species
AUUGAACGCUGGCGGCAGGCCUAACACAUGCAAGUCGAGCGGAUGAAGGGAGCUUGCUCCUGGAUUCAGCGGCGGACGGGUGAGUAAUGCCUAGGAAUCUGCCUGGUAGUGGGGGAUAACGUCCGGAAACGGGCGCUAAUACCGCAUACGUCCUGAGGGAGAAAGUGGGGGAUCUUCGGACCUCACGCUAUCAGAUGAGCCUAGGUCGGAUUAGCUAGUUGGUUGGGUAAAGGCCUACCAAGGCGACGAUCCGUAACUGGUCUGAGAGGAUGAUCAGUCACACUGGAACUGAGACACGGUCCAGACUCCUACGGGAGGCAGCAGUGGGGAAUAUUGGACCAUGGGCGAAAGCCUGAUCCAGCCAUGCCGCGUGUGUGAAGAAGGUCUUCGGAUUGUAAAGCACUUUAAGUUGGGAGGAAGGGCAGUAAGUUAAUACCUUGCUGUUUUGACGUUACCAACAGAAUAAGCACCGGCUAACUUCGUG